UGUGUAGGUGGCGCGUUAAGUUAAAUGUUAAAUCUAUGGGCUCAACUCAUAGGCCGCAUUUAAUACUGGCGUGCUAGAGGAUGGUAGAGGUAAGCGGAAUUAGCGGUGUAGCAGUGAAAUGCGUAGAUAUCGCUAGGAACACCAAUGGCGAAGGCAGCUUACUGGUCCAUUCCUGACACUGAGACACGAAAGCGUGGGGAGCGAACG
rnacentral:rRNA from 1 species